AGCACGAUGGCGCAGUGGAAGCGCGCCGGGCUCAUAACCCGGAGGUCGGUGGAUCGAAACCACCUCGUGCUA